rnacentral:lncRNA from 1 species
AGAGCUUGGAGCGGAGGAGGCCCGGCAGCGCCUGAAGGAGCAGUCCAUCUUUGGGGACCAGCAAGAUGAGGACGACAGGCAGCAGUUUAGGAAAUCGGAGUCAGAGGUGGAGGAGGCUGCUGCCAUCAUUGCUCAGCGGCCUGACAACCCCCGGGACUUCUUCAAGCAGCAGGAGCGGGUGGCAUCGGGCAGCAGUGAUGCUGUGUCACCAGGCAGCCACAGGACAGGCAGCCAGUCGGACGCUUUCCGCAAGGCC